UACGGAGGGGGCUAGCGUUGUUCGGAAUUACUGGGCGUAAAGCGCGUGUAGGCGGCCCGGUAAGUCCGCUGUAAAAGUCCAGGGCUCAACCCUGGAAAGCCGGUGGAUACUGUCGGGCUCGAGUCCGGAAGAGGCGAGUGGAAUUCCUGGUGUAGCGGUGAAAUGACGCAGAUAUCAGGAGGAACACCGAUGGCGAAGGCAGCUCGCUGGGACGGUACUGACGCUGAGACGCGAAAGCUAGGGGAGCGAACGGG
rnacentral:rRNA from 1 species